GCCAGGCAUGGUAGCUUGUGCCUGUAGUUCCAGCUACUUGGGAGGCUGAGGUGGGAGGAUCGCUUGAGCCCAGGAGUUCUGUGCUGUAGUGCGCUAUGCGGAUCGGGUGUCUGCACUAAGUGUGGCAUCAAUGUGGUGAUCUCCUGGAAGCAGGGGACCACCAGGUUGCCUAAGGAGGGGUAAACUGGCCCAGGUCAGAAACAGAGCAGGUCUAAACACCCAUGCUGAUCAGUAGUGGGAUCACGCCUGUGAAUAGCCACUGCACUCCAGCCUGGGCAACACAGCGAGACCCUGUCUCUU
ensembl:misc_RNA Metazoa_SRP Metazoan signal recognition particle RNA